UACGUAGGGCGCGAGCGUUGUCCGGAAUUAUUGGGCGUAAAGGAGCUCGUAGGCGGUUUGUCGCGUCUGCCGUGAAAAGUCCGGGGGCUCAACUCCGGAUCUGCGGUGGGUACGGGCAGACUAGAGUGAUGUAGGGGAGACUGGAAUUCCUGGUGUAGCGGUGAAAAUGCGCAGAUAUCAGGAGGAACACCGAUGGCGAAGGCAGGUCUCUGGGCAUUAACUGACGCUGAGGAGCGAAAGCAUGGGGAGCGAACAGG
rnacentral:rRNA from 1 species